rnacentral:tRNA from 1 species
GGGUCCGUAGCCCAAUUGGCAGAGGCACACGGUUUAGGUCCGUGCCAGUGUGGGUUCGAGUCCCACCGGACCCA